rnacentral:rRNA from 1 species
GACGAACGCUGGCGGCGUGCUUAACACAUGCAAGUCGAACGCUGAAGCUCAGCUUUUGUUGGGUGGAUGAGUGGCGAACGGGUGAGUAACACGUGAGUAACCUGCCUCCUUCUUUGGGAUAACGCCCGGAAACGGGUGCUAAUACUGGAUAUUCACUGGUCUUCGCAUGGGGGUUGGUGGAAAGGGUUUUUCUGGUGGGGGAUGGGCUCGCGGCCUAUCAGCUUGUUGGUGGGGUGAUGGCCUACCAAGGCUUUGACGGGUAGCCGGCCUGAGAGGGUGACCGGUCACAUUGGGACUGAGAUACGGCCCAGACUCGUACGGGAGGCAGAAGUGGGGAAUAUUGCACAAUGGGCGCAAGCCUGAUGCAGCGACGCCGCGUGAGGGAUGGAGGCCUUCGGGUUGUGAACCUCUUUCGCUAAUGGUCAAGCCGCAACAAUGGUUGUGGUGAGGGUAGUGGGUAAAGAAGCGCCGGCUAACUACGUG